rnacentral:rRNA from 1 species
GCGUGGAGGAUGAAGGCCCUUGGGUUGUAAACUCCUUUUCUGGGGGAAGAGUAAGGACGGUACCUCAGGAAUAAGUCACGGCUAACUACGUGCUAGCAGCCGCGGUAAUACGUAGGUGGCAAGCGUUAUCCGGAAUUACUGGGCGUAAAGCGCACGCAGGUGGCCAGUCAAGUCUGGCGUGAAAUCUCUUGGCUUAACUGGGAGAGGUCGUUGGAAACUGGCUGGCUGGAGGCAAUGAGAGGGGUGCGGAAUUCCCGGUGUAGUGGUGGAAUGCGU